UAAAAGUUUUAUUUUAGCUUUGGGGUUGGCUAUUUAAUUCUUGUAUAUGUAUUGUUUAGGUUAGAGAAUUAAUUAUUGCAGUAUAGAAAAUUAGUUUUGGGUUGGGGCUUGAACUAGGAAUUUAUUAUAUUACAAACAAAGGUUGUGCCAGCAGUUGCGGUUAUACAAUCUGUAUAAGUCAAUCAGUUUUAAUUUAGUUAAUAUUAAUGGUGUAAAUUGAUUUAUAAACUUUUUAGGUGAAAUUUCAAGUUUAUAUGGAGAUUUAGAUUUAAUUUGUGAGGCUAUUAAAUUUUUAUUUUAAACUAGGAUUAGAUACCCUACUAUUAAAAAUGUAAUUUUAAAUUUAAAGUUAGUAUUAGUUAUGUUCUUGAAAUUUAAAGAAUUUGGCGGUAUUUCAGUCUAUUCAGAGGAACCUGUUUCAUAAAUGAUAGUCCACGAUUGGUUAAACUUUAAUUUUUAGUUUGUAUAUCGUCGUAUUAAGAAUAUUUUUUUAGGAUUUUAAUUUUCUUGAUAUUAGAUUUAAUUGUAGUUCAGAUCAAGGUAUAGUUUAUAUUAAAGUGUAAAUGGGUUACGUUAAGUUUAUUUUUGGAAAUGUUUUUAAAAUGACAUUGUAAAUAGGAUUUGUUAGUAAUUAAUUAUUAAUAUUUUUAAUGAUUUUAGCUCUGAAAUAUGCACAUAUUGCCCGUCGCUUUCAUUUUAGGUGAAAUAAGUCGUAACAAAGUAGGUUUAUUGGAAAAUGAGUCUAGAAAGGU
rnacentral:ncRNA from 1 species